rnacentral:rRNA from 1 species
GACGAACGCUGGCGGCGUGCCUAAUACAUGCAAGUAGAACGCUGAAGCUUGGUGCUUGCACCGAGCGGAUGAGUUGCGCACGGGUGAGUAACGCGUAGGUAACCUGCCUGGUAGCGGGGGAUAACUAUUGGAAACGAUAGCUAAUACCGCAUAAGAGUAGAUGUUGCAUGACAUUUGCUUAAAAGGUGCAAUUGCAUCACUACCAGAUGGACCUGCGUUGUAUUAGCUAGUUGGUGAGGUAACGGCUCACCAAGGCAACGAUACAUAGCCGACCUGCGAGGGUGAUCGGCCACCCUGGGACGGGGACACGGCCCAGACUCCUACGGGAGGCAGCAGUAGGGAAUCGUCGGCAAUGGACGGUAGUCUGACCGAGCAACGCCGCGUGAGUGAAGAAGGUUUUCGGAUCGUAAAGCUCUGUUGUAAGAGAAGAACGAGUGUGAGAGUGGAAAGUUCACACUGUGACGGUAUCUUACCAGAAAGGGACGGCUAACUACGUG